UGCGUUGUUGGGUAGGGGAGCGUUCUGUAAGCCUGCGAAGGUGUGCUGUGAGGCAUGCUGGAGGUAUCAGAAGUGCGAAUGCUGACAUAAGUAACGAUAAAGCGGGUGAAAAGCCCGCUCGCCGGAAGACCAAGGGUUCCUGUCCAACGUUAAUCGGGGCAGGGUGAGUCGACCCCUAAGGCGAGGCCGAAAGGCGUAGUCGAUGGGAAACAGGUUAAUAUUCCUGUACUUGGUGUUACUGCGAAGGGGGGACGGAGAAGGCUAUGUUGGCCGGGCGACGGUUGUCCCGGUUUAAGCGUGUAGGCUGGUUUUCCAGGCAAAUCCGGAAAAUCAAGGCUGAGGCGUGAUGACGAGGCACUACGGUGCUGAAGCAACAAAUGCCCUGCUUCCAGGAAAAGCCUCUAAGCAUCAGGUAACAUCAAAUCGUACCCCAAACCGACACAGGUGGUCAGGUAGAGAAUACCAAGGCGCUUGAGAGAACUCGGGUGAAGGAACUAGGCAAAAUGGUGCCGUAACUUCGGGAGAAGGCACGCUGAUAUGUAGGUGAAGUCCCUCGCGGAUGGAGCUGAAAUCAGUCGAAGAUACCAGCUGGCUGCAACUGUUUAUUAAAAACACAGCACUGUGCAAACACGAAAGUGGACGUAUACGGUGUGACGCCUGCCCGGUGC
rnacentral:rRNA from 1 species